rnacentral:rRNA from 1 species
GAUGAACGCUAGCGGCAGGCUUAACACAUGCAAGUCGAGGGGCAGCGCGGGAUAGCAAUAUCCUGGCGGCGACCGGCGGACGGGUGCGUAACGCGUGAGCGACAUGCCCGUUGCCCGGGGACAACCGGUGGAAACGCCGACUAAUCCCCGAUGGGAUAUUGUGCCGCAUGGCACGAUAUUGAAAGUUACGGCGGCGACGGAUUGGCUCGCGUCCGAUUAGCUUGUUGGCGGGGUAACGGCCCACCAAGGCUGCGAUCGGUAGGGGUUCUGAGAGGAAGGCCCCCCACAAUGGGACGGAGACACGGCCCAUACUCCGACGGGAGGCAGCAGUGAGGAAUAUGGGUCAAUGGGCGGAAGCCUGAACCAGCCAUGCCGCGUGCGGGAAGGAGGCCCUAUGGGCUGUGAACCGCUUUUGCCUGGGGGCAAUAAGGGCGUCGCGCACGUCCGAUGAGAGUACCAGGCGAAUAAGCAUCGGCUAACUCCGUG